AUACUAACCUGGCAGGGGCGACACCAUGAUCACCAAGGUGGUUCACCCAGGGCGAGGCUCGGCCAUUUUACUCCGGUUGUGCUGACCCUUACGAAUUCCCCAAAUGCGUGAAUCUCAACUGCAUGAUUUCUGGUUGUGGGGGCUGCGUUUGCGCUCUCCCCUG